AGCCUUAUAUUCAAUAAUGAUGUAAAAUUGCAAAUUUUAAGGGGUAUAAAUUUAUACUAAGGCUU
rnacentral:tRNA from 1 species